GCGGAUGUGGUGAAACUGGAAAACACGUAGGAUUUAGAAUCCUAUGCCGAAAGGCUUGUGGGUUCGAGUCCCACCGUCCGCA
rnacentral:tRNA from 3 species